rnacentral:misc_RNA from 1 species
GCCACUGCCACUGCCACUGCCACUGCUAAUAGUAUUAGCAAAAAUGAUCGUAUGAUCAAGAAGAAGACGAAGAAGCAGAAGAGCGAGGAAAAGAAGAAAGCAGAGUUGCUGGCAGUAAAGAGGAAGAAGGAGAAGAGGAGAACUCGUUCUGAGAAAGAAUUUGGCUCCACCACUUCCUUCGAGUUUGACAAUAAUGAAAAUCAUAUCCCUGUUUUGCUUGGUGAAGUUGUUGACGUUUUUUCUUCACUAAACCUCCGCUCUUUCGUGGAUUGUACUCUUGGCGCUGCCGGCCAUUCCUCCGCCGUCAGUACCUUUCCUUCUGAAACCUGAUAUACCAAUUUUUUGGGUUGCUUUGUACUAAUUGGUUGGUUGUGUUUUUAAUACUCAAAUGACAACUAACAGAUAAUCCAGGCUCAUCCUGAGUUGGAAAAUUAUGUGGGGAUGGAUGUUGAUCCAGUUGCACAUGCCAAGGCUCGAGCUCACAUUGAUGCUCUUUUGCAUUCUCAUUUUCACUUGAAAGCAAACACAUUUCUCAGGAAUUUCAAGCAUAUUAAGUCUUUACUUGCCGAGGCUGAUCCAAGCCUUUUGCAUUCUGGAGUUGAUGCCAUCUUAAUGGACCUUGGAAUGUCAUCCAUGCAGGUCAACAAUCCUGAAAGAGGGUUCAGUGUUCUUGCUAAUGGACCUCUUGACAUGCGUAUGGAUCCUCAGGUGACUCUGAAAGCAGAAGACAUAUUAAAUUGCUGGCCUGAUACUGAAGUGGGCCGAGUCCUAAGGGAAUAUGGGGAAGAAAGCAAUUGGCGUUUGCUUCAGAAUAAGAUUGUUCAGGCUCGGCUACAUGGUGGUUUGCAUUCCACUGGCGAUCUGGUAGAUCUUAUUCGCAAUGUGACUCAUGGGAUGAGAGGAGGGAGGCAAGGUUGGAUAAAGACAGCAACACGGGUGUUUCAAGCUCUGAGGAUAGCUGUUAAUGAUGAACUCAACACACUGGAAAAAUCUCUUAAUGCUUGUUUCGAGUGCCUUGCACCUGGGGGAAGGCUUGCUGUGAUCUCUUUCCACAGUUUGGAAGAUAGAAUUGUGAAACAAACGUUUCUUAACAUCAUUGAAACCGAUAGAGGAGAUGGAGAUGUGGAUGUUGAAGGGAGAGGUGGAAGAGAGAUAAGAAAGACGGAAGAUGAGAGUGAUGCAAAGGAAAUGUGGAUUAGAUCAAUGGUACAUGGGAGGAACGGAACUAUCCUGACCAAGAGACCCAUAACCCCAUCAGAAGAGGAAGAAAAAUUGAAUAGCCGGAGCAGAAGUGCCAAACUCCGGGUGAUUGAGAGAGUUUAAUAAUAGAUUUGAUUACUGAACGUCUAAUUAUUCAUUGUCUGCUGCGUUUGCCUAACCAUAUUCCAUGUUCAUCUUUUUAUGGAAAUUGCUUUCCCUGAUCAGUGACAGUGUGGUAUCUAAACACUGCCAUGUUGUACAUGCGGGCGUAUCAUGUGCCAAGCUGAGAUAUCGUACUUUAAAGUGUUAUUUUAUUUAAUUGAAAGUAUAAUUUUAUUCUCAAAUCAA